AAUUGUGACAUGGUAAUUGAAAUGUUGGACUAAAGAAUCUGUAUUUCUUUAUCAUUACAGUGAGCAAUAAUGUCCACACUGGAAAUGAUUGAAAGCAUAGAAGAAUUAGAAAAAAAAAUCAUAAGGGUUCAGCAGAACCCUGUGUCUUGCAUGAAAUGUGUCUGCUGUUGUAAUUGUGUAUGUGUAAUCGCCAAUUGAUGUUGACUUGAAAAGUUGAUUCAUUUAUCA
rnacentral:lncRNA from 1 species